UUUUCAGUUUUUGGUUUUGGUUUCUAGCGUAUGGUUAUGGUUUUUAGUUGUGCAGUAUUUUUAGUUUUUUAAAAAAUGGACAUUCUUUAAACAAAAAAUAGCAAUAACAUAUAUAUAGAAAUUACAAAGAAAAUAUAUCAAAAACAGUGAUUAUUAAUUAAAAAUAAAAAUACAUUAAAAUGUUUUAAAAUUAUUUUAUUUUAAGUAUUAUAUUAGAACAAAAAAUAAAAAUAUCUAUAAAUUAUGCAAAAUUAAAAUAUUAAAAUUUUGAAAAUAUGUAUAAAUUUUCUUUACAAGACUUUUAUUUUUUAAUCUUGAAUGCCAUUUGUUUUAAAAAUUACUAUAAUAUUUUUAAUUACUUAAACAUUUUCUAUUUUUUAAUUUUAGUUAUUUUGAAUGUGUCUAAUAAUUGUUAUAAUUAUUCAAUAAUUUUAUUUAUAGAAAUAGAUAACUAAUUCUUUACAAAUAGUUAUACUAUAUAUGAAUAUCUAAAUGAUUUUACAGAUAUAAAAUACAAAUAAUUAUUUUACAUUAUUAUUUAAAUGAUAUUUUAUGUACAAAAAGAAACAAAUUCGUUUUUUCCUUUAAAAACCCACAAAAGUUGGUUUUUGGUUUUUAUUCAUAAACUGUUUAAAACUUUGGAAAACUAGUUUCCCUAAAUUUUAGAGAAUCUAUUUGUUAAAAAACUUGAUUGGCAAAUCAAAUGGUUUUUACAAAAACAAAAACUAAAAACUAAAACUUGAUUGGAGAAAAAAUGGUUUUUGAGAAAACAAAAACCAAAAACUAAAACAAAAACCGGAAACAAUCAUCACCUUAGAUUAUGGUGUGUUUGGUACAAAAAAUCUCUAAAUGCAGUAUGUAUGUGUUGUUUUGGGUUUGAUAGCUAAUUGUAAUUAUUUAGUAAUGAAUAAUUACACAAAAUAUGUCAAUAAAGAAUAAAAAAUAAUCAAGUGUUUCAACUUUACAUGAAUGAAAAAAAAACUUAGGCGGCCAACGCGGGAAUUAGGCAGUCAACGAGAAAAAUAAUCAAGUGUUGCCUUUUGUAAUAUUCUAAUGGAUUUUUUAUAAGCAUAAACUUAGUUGGUAUCUAUGUUAAUCUAAUUAAACCUCUAUAAAUAAAUAUUUAUUUGUUCACAAAUUAAUAGAUUGAGAACUUUAAUUCAAAACAAAACUCUACUUAUUAUCAAAUUAGUAAUUAGUCAAUUAUUAAUUUACGGAGGUUAUAUAUGAAUAUUUCUAGUUACAAUAUAUAAAUAAAAUAAAAUUAGGGUUUAUGUUCGCACGUGUGGACAUAAUUAUCUGAUCAAAUAUUUAUUAGGAAAAUUUUCAUCUUUACCACAUUGUUGGUACUAUUAUUUAUGUUUACCUUCAAUAAAGGGACAUUUUCACAAUUUUUUUCAUAAGAGGCAAAAGACUCUUAUAUCGUUGAUUUAUAUAUAUAAUUAUUUUAAUAAAUAAAAAAAUUAAAAAAUAGUUUUUUAAAUAGUUUUUGAAUUUUAUAUAAUUUCUUUUUCAAUUUUUGUUUUCAUUUUUAUGAAAUUUGUUUUUGAGUUUUCUUUUCUUUUUGAAAUUCGAAAUUUAUUUUUGAAACCAUUUUAAAAAAAAAUUAAGUAUUUAUUUAUGUAUUUAUUAGAAUCUUAAACUCCAUUUUCCAAAAUCCUACCCACCCCUCAACUUUAAACCCAACUCUAUAUUAAUUAAUUCUAGGGUUAUAUGUGUCUUUUUACCUCUUUAAAAUUGAAGGUAAAAGUGGUUAAGUUAAACAUGAAAAAUACUAUUAGAAAUGUAGUAUUUUAGACAUUUUUCCUAUUUAUUAUUACAUAGAUUAUUAAUUAAUUCAUGUUAAACACCAAAUUUUCAUAUUUGACAUAUUUUACAUCAAAAUGUUUUGAUAUUGGGUUAAAAUAAUUAGAAACACUCCCGUAGUAUAAAAAUUUUCUUAAAAAAUUAUAUUUGAUUAGUAGUUGUGUAUCUAGGAAUGUUUGAUAUUAUUUGUCAAUAACAACAUAAUGUAUAUAGGAAUUAUCUUCUUUUUCAAAAAAAAAAAAAAACUACUUUUCGUCUAAUUUUAUUAUAUUACUUUAUAAUAUAGUGAUGUCUGAUCAAACUAUUCAAAAUCAAAUAGUUAUACGUAUAUUUCAGGUGUAAAGCCAUUUUCCAAUGAUUCAUAAACCAAAAUAAUAUUGCCAUGAUCAAAUUAUUCAAAAUAAACUAAAGGAAAUAAUUCUAACGAGCACAAAGAAAACAGCUAUAUUUAUCUGCAUUUUAUGUGUUGAUACAUCUCUUACUUCAGCCAAUAGAAUUCCUUUCUAUCUCCACAACCACUGAGAAACAUAAAAAUAGAUUAUAAGAUUCCGAACAAUACAAGAACAAAUUGCACAAUUACAAAACCAUAUAAGAUAUUAGACGCAAUAUAAAAUUGGGUAACAAACAAAAAUAUAAACUAAACUAAAACCUAAACAGAUUUCUGAUCGUAAGGCAUAAAGUUAAAUAGGUUUAGUAUAUAUACUUCUAGAAAGUGUGUUGUUACAUAUAUUUUUUUCCAAUAAUAUCCUAUUAGAUAUUAAUUUGACGUAGUUGACGAACUUACCUAUCAGCUUUCAAAACUAAUGACAUAAUUUAUUUAAGGGGAAUUGUAUCCUACAUCAAUCAAACAAAUUAUAAUUCAUCCAAUAAUUAAAAACCAUGUUUUUUCAAUAUACACUGUACACAUUAUAGAUUAUUGUCAUAUUACCCUUGCAACCAACCGGUGAAACCUGCUGACAAAAAUAAUUAAAAAAUAUAUAAAAACUUUUAGCCACAUCUUCUAAUCCAUCACCAUCACCUCUACGUCUCUACUCCGCCAUCUCUUUCCAGUGUCUCUCUUUCUUCUUUAGAUUAUCAAAAAAAAUCAUACAUUUUCUUCUGUCACAUAAUUUUUCUCUUUCAAUACUUCACCAAAAAAACAAUCAAUUAUAAAGAAGAGACAACGAUGAAAUCAUAGACGGUGAGGACACACAACAACUCUUUCAUAUAUUUUUUUAAAUCAAUUGAUUCUCACAAUUAUUCUUUUGUUUUCAUACUCUGUUUUCGUUUCUGUUUUUGUUUUAAAGAUCCAGUGGUGAAGAACAGACAGCGAUGAAAGCGUAGACGAUCUAGUGGUGAAGAACAACGACGGCGAAUCGGUUAAAGCAUCAUCGUGUCGGGAAAAAGAGAGGAGAUAAAGAUGAUCUCUAUAUAUGGUGGUGAACGAAAUGAAUAUGUAUCAGCCUAUCUAAAAAAAAAAGAAUUGAAGAAGAUGAAUUCGCCGUCUAUACUAUAUUUGGUGAAAUGAAUAGUAUAGUAUAUAUUUUUAAGUAUAGCUACUUAUAUACAGUUACCAUACUAUUUGAGACAUAUUUCUAUACUACUCCUUAAAAUUAUAAUAAUAUGUCAAGUUUUUAAAUUUGAUAGGUCUCUUCUUUGUCAAUUUGUGUGAUUGAUUGUAAUAUGAAAUUCAUUUUUCGAGUGUUGGACAAAUUUAAUUAUUUGGAACAUUCGUUUACUAUACUACUUAGAAUAUAUGGAAUAUAAGAUAUGUAAUAUGCUAACAAAGUAAAUGUGAUUUCAAGUGUUAAAUAUUGAAAAACAAUUUAUAGAUUGUAUUUGGGUUUAUAGGUUUCUGCCUAGAGUUUAGAUUUAUUAAGUAAAAGUUUAGGUAUAGUAAACCAUAUUAUAUACAUUAUAUUUGGGUUUAUACUUCCUUGAUUAGGGUUUAGCUUAAUCUAUUUAUUUAGGUUUAGGGUUAGGGUAUAUUUGGAUUAGGGUUUAAUGACUAGAAUGUAAGGUUUAGUAUUUAGAAGGUGAGGGGAUAUGGUUGGGGUGAGCAUUAAUUUCUUUCAUGCAAUCAUAGAUAUUUUAUAGUUUCACCAAUAUGUACUAUGUUAUUUAUUUUGUUCCAUUCUAUUUGGGUUUUGUGUCAAUAUUUGGGUUUAGGGUUUAUAUUUGAGUUAGGGUUUAGUGAUUAGAGUUUAGGGUUUAGUGAUUAGAGUUUAGGAUUUAGAUUUUCUAAGUAAAGGUUUGGGUAUAGUAAACCAUAUUAUAUAUAUUCUAUUUGGGUUUAUAUUUUCUUGAUUAGGGUUUAGCUUAAUCUAUUUAUUUCAAGUAAAUGUGCUUUUAAGUGUUUAAUAUUGGAAAACAAUUUAUAGAUUGUAUUUGGGUUUAUAGGUUUCUGCCUAGGGUUUAGAUUUACUAAGUAAAGGUUUGGGUAUAGUAAACCAUAUUAUAUACAUUCUAUUUGGGUUUAUAUUUGGGUAUAUAGUAAACCAUAUUAUAAACAUACUAUACUAUAUCCACCAUAUAGUAUAGUGGUAUGAACCUAGGUACACUUGAUAUUUGAAAACGUGAGAAACUGUUUAUAUCUUGGAUGUAGGUUGACAUAUCCAGAUUAGAUUAGAGAUAUUCAAUUCCUUAAAGAAUAGUACGCAAGACAUUGUAACUUUACCAUAUUACAUCAUCUACACAUUUGUCAACAUUUAUUUUUUAAUGGAGAACGACAUCAUUAUAUUUACACAAAUGAAUGGACUACACCAUUUAUCAAACUAUUGUUUUUCUAUUAUCCUCUACAUAUUUACUGAAACAAUAAAACAUAUGUGGUUUGUAUGUGUAUGAUGUGGCUUCAUUUAAUUUGGGUGAUGUGGUUUGUAUGUGUGUGAUGUGGCCUCAUUAUUAGUCAUAUUUAAUUUAAGUGGUGUGGCAUUACCUUCUUACUUUUACCUGCUACUUGUAUGAAAGAGGGUUAUAACCGGAUCAAAAGAGACAUAAUUGUUACUUACUUAAUUAUGUCAAAAUCAUAAGCAUGCACUUACUUUCACUUAUGAUUUAGGUUAUUCAGCAAAUAAUCCCUUUAUUUAAGGUGUAAUAUACUGAAUUAAUAUUUUCACUUAUAAAUUUAAAACAUAUAAUUAUUAUUAACGGUAUCAUCAGCAAAUCAAAGACACUCUUGGAAUUCAGAAUGAAGGGAGAAUGGUAAAAUACUUGGGAAUACCAAAGGAUAUUAGCGGAUCUAAGUGUAAGCUUUUCGCUUUCCUAAAAGAAUAAUUAUUACAUAGAGUGAAUGGUUAGACAGGUAGAUUUUUAUCGAAAGGAGGAAGGGAAGUUUUGAUCAAAUCUAUUCUCCUAGCUCUUCCCACAUACGUCAUGUCGAGCUUCUUGCUCCCUUUGGAGAUUUGCGAGAACCUUGCAAGUGCCAUAGCACAAAUUUGGUGGAGUUCAAACCCACCAAAACGUGGGAUUCACUGGGCUAAAUGGGAAAAGAUGUGUGCUCCAAGAGAGGAGGGAGGAGUGGGAUUCCGCAUGAUCCAUGAAUUUAAUUUAGCUCUGCUAGCGAAGCAACUCUGGCGACUUGUUCAAUACCCGGAUUCAUUAGUAGCGAGAGUCCUUAAGGGAAAAUAUUACUGCCUCAGUUCGCCCUUGCGAAUUGCUGCGGUGGACAAUCCAUCCUAUGUGUGGACGAGUAUUUUAGCGGCAAAGAAGCUUUUACUUUUGGGUAUCAGGAAUAAAGUGCAUUCAGGAUAUGAAAUCAAUGUCUGACAGGAUCCGUGGAUUCCUUCAACGCCAGCCAGGCCGGCCCGCCCUAGGGUACCAGUCGUAAAUCCGAAGAUGCUUGUAAGUAAUCUUAUUAAUUUUGAAUCAAAGGAGUGGGACGAUCAGAUUCUGGCACAGUAUGUUGAUCAAGAAGAUAUACAGUUGAUUAUGAGUUUGGCCAUAAGCCCGACACAUCGUAGAGAUUUUUUCUGCUGGAGUUAUACUAAAAAUGGCCAAUACACUGUUAAGUCUGGGUAUUGGGUUGCCACAAAUAUAUUGAAAGCAGAGGAGGAACCAGAAGUUAUACAGCCUAGAAUCACUGAACUUCAAGCCUUUACUUGGAAAGUGAAUGCACCUCAGAAAAUUUGCCAUCUUAUAUGGCAAUUAAUUUCAGGGCAGGUAGUAGAAACAAGGAACUUAAUACGUCGGAAUAUACGGUGUGAUAAUUACUGCCCAAGAUGUGGAGAGCCAGAGGAAACUGUAACCCACACAAUCUUUGAAUGUCCCCCAGCACUACAAGUAUGAGAACUAUCAUCAAUGCCGUCGAAUCCCCAAAUCUUCCCUAUAUCGAGUAUGUACGCCAAUAUAGAUUAUCUUUUCUGGAGGAAGAAUACAAUUAGGAGGCCAUAAGAUGACAGAGACCAUUAUCCCUGGAUAAUCUGGUACAUCUGGAAGGCGAGGAAUGAUAAGUUAUUCAGGGGGAUAGAUAGGGACUCUUUGGAACUGGUCAGAUAUGCAGAGAGUGAAUGUCAGACUUGGUAUAAUGCUAAGGAGUCUUUACCUACUCCACCACAUGCACCAAUCACUGAAGUGGUACAAGCCUUAAGCUUGAAUAAUAUGUGCAUGGUGGAUGGUUCAUGGACAUCUACAGAUCAAUUCAGUGGAAUCGGAUGGGUUUGGAAAGAUAUCACGGGGAUGAUCCAACUUAUGGGAACACAUAACUUAAGGAGGCAGGAGAUAGCAUUACACUUGGAACUGGAACCUUUGAAAUGAGCACUGGAAAGCAUGCUUCAACAUUCAAACUGCUAACACUUUGGAACAGAUUGUAAGGACUUGAUUGCGAUGAUAAAGGAUCCCCAAGCAUGGCCAAACUUUUCAACAGAGCUAGAAGUCAUUCAAAUCAUCCUCAUGUGCUUUUCGGAUUUCAAGAUCAACUACGUGCCAAGAGCACAUAAUGAAAUUACUGAUUCUUUAGCUAGGAAUGCUCGAUCUUUUCACAGAUCUCUUUGUUUUAUUGGUUGUUCUAUUUCGGUCUGGUUACCCAGACCAACUCAUGUUUGAGUAAUAGAAUAGCCGCUUCUUGCCAAAAAAAAAAAACCAAGGUCAUGUUCCUUUUUAUAUUUGGAUGUAACAUGUAAAUAUAACAUCUAAAUACAACUUAGGAAAUUUUCAUAUUUACCACUUUCUUGGUACCAUUAUUCAUGUUUACCAUCACUAAAAAAAUAUUUUGAAAUUCAUUAAAAGCAAAACAAUUCUUAUACAUUUAUUCUCUAUAUAUAUAAUAAUAAUUAUUUAAAUAAAUAAAAAUUAAAAAUUAAAAAAAAUUAAAAAAAUAUUUCGUUAAGUUUUCGAAUUAUACUUUUUCAAUUUAAACUGUUUAUAAUUUUUUUGAACUUUUUAGAAUUUUGUUUUUCAAAUUUUCUUUUUGAAAUUCAAAAAAUUGGUUUUAAAACUAUUUUUUGAAUUUUUUUCUAAAUAUUCCAAAAACUCUACUCCACCUCUCAACUCUAACCUCUAAUUUUAUAUUAGUUAACACUAGGGUUAUAAAUGUAUUUUUCCUUUUUUUUUAAAUGAGGAUAAAAGUUGUUAAGGUAAACAUACUUUUAGAUAUUCAAUCCAAAUGUGUUCAUUUUUUAAUUAAUAUAUGUUUAAAAUUAUAUUAUUAACAAUUUUAUUUUAAUUUUUUUGUUAAUAAUAUAAUUUUUUGUUAAUAAUAUAAUUGUUUUUCUUUACCUUACCUUAAAAAAAAAUAAAAAAUCCAAAUUUGGCAUUCAGUUUUUAAAAGAAAAUUUAAAUGCUAUUA